rnacentral:rRNA from 1 species
GAUGAACGCUGGCGGCGUGCCUAAUACAUGCAAGUCGAGCGAACGGACGAGAAGCUUGCUUCUCUGAUGUUAGCGGCGGACGGGUGAGUAACACGUGGAUAACCUACCUAUAAGACUGGGAUAACUUCGGGAAACCGGAGCUAAUACCGGAUGAUAUUUUGAACCGCAUGGUUCAAAAGUGAAAGACGGUCUUGCUGUCACUUAUAGAUGGAUCCGCGCUGCAUUAGCUAGUUGGUAAGGUAACGGCUUACCAAGGCAAUGAUGCAUAGCCGGCCUGAGAGGGUGAUCGGCCACACUGGAACUGAGACACGGUCCAGACUCCUACGGGAGGCAGCAGUAGGGAAUCUUCCGCAAUGGGCGAAAGCCUGACGGAGCAGCGCCGCGUGAGUGAUGAAGGUCUUCGGAUCGUAAAACUCUGUUAUUAGGGAAGAACAUAUGUGUAAGUAACUGUGCACAUCUUGACGGUACCUAAUCAGAAAGCCACGGCUAACUACGUG